AUACGUAGGGGGCGAGCGUUGUCCGGAAUGAUUGGGCGUAAAGGGCGCGUAGGCGGCCCGGUAAGUCUGGAGUGAAAGUCCUGUUUUUAAGAUGGGAAUUGCUUUGGAUACUCUCGGGCUUGAGUGCAGGAGAGGUAAGUGGAAUUCCCAGUGUAGCGGUGAAAUGCGUAGAGAUUGGGAGGAACACCAGUGGCGAAGGCGACUUACUGGACUGUAACUGACGCUGAGGCGCGAAAGUGUGGGGAGCAAACAGGAUUAGAUACCCUGGUAGUCCACACUGUAAACGAUGAAUGCUAGGUGUAGGGGGUAUCGACCCCUUCUGUGCCGCAGUCAACACAAUAAGCAUUCCGCCUGGGGAGUACGGCCGCAAGGUUGAAACUCAAAGGAAUUGACGGGG
rnacentral:rRNA from 1 species